rnacentral:snRNA from 1 species
GUGCUCACUUCAGCAGCAUAUAUACUAAAAUUGGAACGAUACAGAGAAGAUUAGCAUGGCCCGUACGCAAGGAUGACAUGGAAAUUUGUGAAGUGUUCCAUAUUAAA